CGGUUAAGUUAGAAAGGGCGCACGGUGGAUGCCUUGGCACUAGGAGCCGAUGAAGGACGGGACGAACACCGAUAUGCUUCGGGGAGCUGUAAGCAAGCUUUGAUCCGGAGAUUUCCGAAUGGGGAAACCCACCACUCGUAAUGGAGUGGUAUCCAUAUCUGAAUACAUAGGAUAUGAGAAGGCAGACCCGGGGAACUGAAACAUCUAAGUACCCGGAGGAAGAGAAAGCAAAUGCGAUUCCCUGAGUAGCGGCGAGCGAAACGGGACCAGCCCAAACCAAGAGGCUUGCCUCUUGGGGUUGUAGGACACUCUGUACGGAGUUACAAAGGAACGAGGUAGAUGAAGAGGUCUGGAAAGGCCCGCCAUAGGAGGUAACAGCCCUGUAGUCAAAACUUCGUUCUCUCCUGAGUGGAUCCUGAGUACGGCGGAACACGUGAAAUUCCGUCGGAAUCCGGGAGGACCAUCUCCUAAGGCUAAAUACUCCCUAGUGACCGAUAGUGAACCAGUACCGUGAGGGAAAGGUGAAAAGCACCCCGGAAGGGGAGUGAAAGAGAUCCUGAAACCGUGUGCCUACAAGUAGUCAGAGCCCGUUAACGGGUGAUGGCGUGCCUUUUGUAGAAUGAACCGGCGAGUUACGAUCCCGUGCAAGGUUAAGCAGAAGAUGCGGAGCCGCAGCGAAAGCGAGUCUGAAUAGGGCGAAUUGAGUACGUGGUCGUAGACCCGAAACCAGGUGAUCUACCCAUGUCCAGGGUGAAGUUCAGGUAACACUGAAUGGAGGCCCGAACCCACGCACGUUGAAAAGUGCGGGGAUGAGGUGUGGGUAGGGGUGAAAUGCCAAUCGAACCUGGAGAUAGCUGGUUCUCUCCGAAAUAGCUUUAGGGCUAGCCUCAAGGUAAGAGUCUCGGAGGUAGAGCACUGAUUGGACUAGGGGCCCCUACCGGGUUACCGAAUUCAGUCAAACUCCGAAUGCCGAUGACUUAUCCUUGGGAGUCAGACUGCGAGUGAUAAGAUCCGUAGUCGAAAGGGAAACAGCCCAGACCGCCAGCUAAGGUCCCAAAGUAUACGUUAAGUGGAAAAGGAUGUGGAGUUGCUUAGACAACCAGGAUGUUGGCUUAGAAGCAGCCACCAUUUAAAGAGUGCGUAAUAGCUCACUGGUCGAGUGACUCUGCGCCGAAAAUGUACCGGGGCUAAACGUAUCACCGAAGCUGCGGACUGUUCUUCGAACAGUGGUAGGAGAGCGUUCUAAGGGCUGUGAAGCAAGACCGGAAGGACUUGUGGAGCGCUUAGAAGUGAGAAUGCCGGUAUGAGUAGCGAAAGAGGGGUGAGAAUCCCCUCCACCGAAUGCCUAAGGUUUCCUGAGGAAGGCUCGUCCGCUCAGGGUUAGUCGGGACCUAAGCCGAGGCCGAAAGGCGUAGGCGAUGGAUAACAGGUUGAUAUUCCUGUACCACCUCCUCACCAUUUGAGCAAUGGGGGGACGCAGGAGGAUAGGGUAAGCGCGGUAUUGGAUAUCCGCGUCCAAGCAGUUAGGCUGGGAAAUAGGCAAAUCCGUUUCCCGUGAAGGCUGAGCUGUGAUGGCGAGCGAAUUAUAGUAGCGAAGUUCCUGAUUCCACACUGCCAAGAAAAGCCUCUAGCGAGGUGAGAGGUGCCCGUACCGCAAACCGACACAGGUAGGCGAGGAGAGAAUCCUAAGGUGAUCGAGAGAACUCUCGUUAAGGAACUCGGCAAAAUGACCCCGUAACUUCGGGAGAAGGGGUGCUCUGUUAGGGUGCAAGCCCGAGAGAGCCGCAGUGAAUAGGCCCAGGCGACUGUUUAGCAAAAACACAGGUCUCUGCGAAGCCGUAAGGCGAAGUAUAGGGGCUGACGCCUGCCCGGUGCUGGAAGGUUAAGAGGAGCGCUUAGCGUAAGCGAAGGUGCGAAUUGAAGCCCCAGUAAACGGCGGCCGUAACUAUAACGGUCCUAAGGUAGCGAAAUUCCUUGUCGGGUAAGUUCCGACCCGCACGAAAGGCGCAACGAUCUGGGCACUGUCUCAACGAGAGACUCGGUGAAAUUAUAGUACCUGUGAAGAUGCAGGUUACCCGCGACAGGACGGAAAGACCCCGUGGAGCUUUACUGCAGCCUGAUAUUGAAUGUUGGUACAGCUUGUACAGGAUAGGUAGGAGCCUUGGAAACCGGAGCGCCAGCUUCGGUGGAGGCAUCGGUGGGAUACUACCCUGGCUGUAUUGACCUUCUAACCCGCCGCCCUUAUCGGGCGGGGAGACAGUGUCAGGUGGGCAGUUUGACUGGGGCGGUCGCCUCCUAAAAGGUAACGGAGGCGCCCAAAGGUUCCCUCAGAAUGGUUGGAAAUCAUUCGCAGAGUGUAAAGGCACAAGGGAGCUUGACUGCGAGACCUACAAGUCGAGCAGGGACGAAAGUCGGGCUUAGUGAUCCGGUGGUUCCGCAUGGAAGGGCCAUCGCUCAACGGAUAAAAGCUACCCCGGGGAUAACAGGCUUAUCUCCCCCAAGAGUCCACAUCGACGGGGAGGUUUGGCACCUCGAUGUCGGCUCAUCGCAUCCUGGGGCUGUAGUCGGUCCCAAGGGUUGGGCUGUUCGCCCAUUAAAGCGGUACGCGAGCUGGGUUCAGAACGUCGUGAGACAGUUCGGUCCCUAUCCGUCGCGGGCGCAGGAAAUUUGAGAGGAGCUGUCCUUAGUACGAGAGGACCGGGAUGGACGCACCGCUGGUGUACCAGUUGUUCUGCCAAGGGCAUCGCUGGGUAGCUAUGUGCGGACGGGAUAAGUGCUGAAAGCAUCUAAGCAUGAAGCCCCCCUCAAGAUGAGAUUUCCCAUUCCGCAAGGAAGUAAGAUCCCUGAAAGAUGAUCAGGUUGAUAGGUCUGAGGUGGAAGUGUGGCGACACAUGGAGCUGACAGAUACUAAUCGAUCGAGGACUUAACCAAUUU
rnacentral:rRNA from 2 species